rnacentral:rRNA from 1 species
UACGUAGGGUGCGAGCGUUAAUCGGAAUUACUGGGCGUAAAGCGUGCGCAGGCGGUUUUGUAAGCCAGAUGUGAAAUCCCCGGGCUUAACCUGGGAAUGGCAUUUGGGACUGCAAGGCUCGAGUGCGGCAGAAGAGACUGGAAUUCCUGGUGUAGCAGUGAAAUGCGUAGAUAUCAGGAGGAACACCGAUGGCGAAGGCAGGUCUCUGGGCUGACACUGACGCUCAUGCACGAAAGCGUGGGGAGCAAACAGG